rnacentral:tRNA from 1 species
GCCUUCGUGGUGUAGUGGUCAGCACGUUUGGAGCGUAUUCCAGUGGUCCUUGGUUCAAGUCUCGGCGAGGGCA